rnacentral:rRNA from 1 species
CCUACGGGUGGCAGCAGUGAGGAAUAUUGGUCAAUGGGCGAGAGCCUGAACCAGCCAAGUCGCGUGAGGGAGUACUGCCCUAUGGGUUGUAAACCUCUUUUGUCGGGGAGCAAAAGCCGGACGUGUCCGGCUGUGAGAGUACCCGAAGAAAAAGCAUCGGCUAACUCCGUGCCAGCAGCCGCGGUAAUACGGAGGAUGCGAGCGUUAUCCGGAUUUAUUGGGUUUAAAGGGUGCGCAGGCGGAUUUUUACGUCAGCGGUAAAAUCGUGGGGCUCAACCCCAUCCAGCCGUUGAAACUGGGGAUCUAGAGUGUGCGAGAGGUAUGCGGAAUGCGUGGUGUAGCGGUGAAAUGCAUAGAUAUCACGCAGAACCCCGAUUGCGAAGGCAGCAUACCGGUGCACAACUGACGCUCAGGCACGAAAGCGUGGGUAUCGAACAGGAUUAGAUACCCCAGUAGUC